GAUGAACGCCGGCGGCGUGCCUAAUACAUGCCAGUCGAGCGAACAGACGAGGAGCUUGCUCCUCUGACGUUAGCGGCGGACGGGUGAGUAACACGUGGAUAACCUACCUAUAAGACUGGGAUAACUUCGGGAAACCGGAGCUAAUACCGGAUAAUAUAUUGAACCGCAUGGUUCAAUAGUGAAAGACGGUUUUGCUGUCACUUAUAGAUGGAUCCGCGCCGCAUUAGCUAGUUGGUAAGGUAACGGCUUACCAAGGCAACGAUGCGUAGCCGACCUGAGAGGGUGAACGGCCACACUGGAACUGAGACACGGUCCAGACUCCUACGGGAGGCAGCAGUAGGGAAUCUUCCGCAAUGGGCGAAAGCCUGACGGAGCAACGCCGCGUGAGUGAUGAAGGUCUUCGGAUCGUAAAACUCUGUUAUUAGGGAAGAACAAAUGUGUAAGUAACUAUGCACGUCUUGACGGUACCUAAUCAGAAAGCCACGGCUAACUACGUG
rnacentral:rRNA from 1 species